ACCGCGAAUGUAUAUGCCAUGGAAGAUUUCAUAAAUAACAGAGGAUAUACCUUCAAUUUGGAUAGGAUAAUUGCAAUUGCAGGAAGGGAUGGAACUCACUGCUUUGUCUACUCCUUUUGCUAUCUCAAAAUUUGAAGGAAAGGUCACAGAGGAGGAUAUCUCAUCACGAAGGAGGAUAAUUUCUACAGAAUCUUUGUUUAAUAUUUGAAUUAAUGCACUUUGCUGACCAAGUCAACUAAGAAAAGAUUUAAUUAAAUUAA